rnacentral:rRNA from 1 species
UCUCCUUUUUCUAAUCAGUGAAACUAAUCUCCCCGUGAAGAAGCGAGGAUACACCUAUAAGACGAGAAGACCCUAUGGAGCUUUAAACAACACAGCAAUUACCUGCUAAACUAAGAAGUUUCUGAACAUUUUUAAUCUUUUAAGUAAUCUGACUGCAAGUUUUUGGUUGGGGUGACCACGGAGCAUAACAUAACCUCCAUGUUGAAAGAAUUCUUUCUAAGCCAAGAACAACCUUUCUAAGCAUCAAUAUAUUGACAUCCAUUGACCCAAUACAUUUGACCAACGAACCAAGUUACCCUAGGGAUAACAGCGCAAUCCACUUCAAGAGCUCCUAUCGACAAGUGGGUUUACGACCUCGAUGUUGGAUCAGGGUAUCCCAGUGGUGCAGCCGCUACUAAAGGUUCGUUUGUUCAACGAUUAAACCCUACGUGAUCUGAGUUCAG